rnacentral:rRNA from 1 species
GACUGCGAGAAUGACAAUUCGAGCAGGGCGAAAGCAGUCAUAGUGAUCCGGUGUUCUGAAUGGAAGGCCAUCGCUCACGGAUAAAAGGUACUCCGGGGAUAACAGGCUGAUACCGCCCAAGAGUCAUAUCGACGGCGGUGUUUGGCACCUCGAUGUCGGCUCAUCACAUCCUGGGGCUGAAGUCGGUCCCAAGGGUAUGGCUGUUCGCCAUUUAAAGUGGUACGCGAGCUGGGUUUAGAACGUCGUGAGACAGUUCGGUCCCUAUCUGCCGUGGGCGUUGGAGAAUUGAAAGGGGCUGCUCCUAGUACGAGAGGACCGGAGUGGACGAACCUCUGGUGUUCGGGUUGUGUCGCCAGACGCAUUGCCCGGUAGCUAAGUUCGGGAUCGAUAACCGCUGAAAGCAUCUAAGCGGGAAGCGAGCCUUGAGAUGAGUUCUCCCUGAUACUUUAAGUAUCCUAAAGGGUUGUCGUAGACUACGACGUUGAUAGGCAGGGUGUGUAAGCGUUGUGAGGCGUUGAGCUAACCUGUACUAAUUGCCCGUGAGGCUUAACCAUACAACACCC